rnacentral:rRNA from 1 species
GCAAGUCGAACGAACUCUGUCGGGAGUGAGUGGCGGACGGGUGAGUAACGCGUGAGGAUCUGCCUACAGGUCUGGGACAACAGCGGGAAACUGCUGCUAAAACCGGAUGUGCCGAGAGGUGAAAUAUUUAUAGCCUGUAGAUGAGCUCGCGUCUGAUUAGCUAGUUGGUGGUGUAAUGGACUACCAAGGCGACGAUCAGUAGCUGGUCUGAGAGGACGAUC